GGCGGACGGGUGAGUAACGCGUGGGUAACCUGCCUCAUACAGGGGGAUAACAGUUAGAAAUGGCUGCUAAUACCGCAUAAGACCACGGUACUGCAUGGUACAGUGGUAAAAACUCCGGUGGUAUGAGAUGGACCCGCGUCUGAUUAGGUAGUUGGUGAGGUAACGGCCCACCAAGCCGACGAUCAGUAGCCGACCUGAGAGGGUGACCGGCCACAUUGGGACUGAGACACGGUCCAG
rnacentral:rRNA from 1 species